rnacentral:tRNA from 1 species
GCGGGUAUAGUUCAGUGGUAAAACUCAACCUUCCCAAGGUUGCGUCGCGAGUUCGAUUCUCGUUACCCGCUUCU